rnacentral:rRNA from 1 species
CCCUUAGAGUUUGAUCCUGGCUCAGAAUCAACGCUGGCGGCGUGCCUCAGACAUGCAAGUCGAACGCGAAAGCCUCCUUCGGGGGGCAAGUAGAGUGGCGCACGGGUGAGUAACACGUAGGUAAUCUACCUUUGGAUUGGGAAUAACCACCGGAAACGGUGGCUAAUACCGAAUAAUGCAGCGGCACCUAAUGGUGACAGUUGUUAAAGCGGGGGAUCGAAAGACCUCGCGUCUGAAGAGGAGCCUGCGGCAGAUUAGCUAGUUGGUAAGGUAACGGCUUACCAAGGCGAUGAUCUGUAGCCGGCCUGAGAGGGCGGUCGGCCACACUGACACUGACAUACGGGUCAGACUCCUACGGGAGGCAGCAGUCGGGAAUUUUGGGCAAUGGGCGAAAGCCUGACCCAGCAACGCCGCGUGAAGGAUGAAAUCCUUCGGGAUGUAAACUUCGCAAGAACGGGAAGAAUAAGUAAGAGCUAACAUCUCUUACGAUGACGGUACUGUUUGUAAGCUCCGGCUAACUCCGUGCCAGCAGCCGCGGUAAUACGGGGGGAGCAAGCGUUGUUCGGAUUUACUGGGCGUAAAGGGCGCGUAGGCGGCCACCGCAAGUCGACUGUGAAAUCUCCGGGCUUAACCCGGAAAGGUCAGCCGAUACUGCGGGGCUAGAGUGCAGA